GAAAGACAGUUUCCAAUCUGUCCCACCUGCAGAGUUGCCCAAGGGGCUGGUCUUGAACUCCUAGGCUCAAGUGAUCCUCCAGCCUUGGCCUCCCAAAUUGCUGGGAUUGCAGGCAUAAGCCAGCGCCUGAGGUGGCACUGACCCUCCUCCAUGUGACUAUAUUCAAGCAUCACCUCUGUGUGCUAAUGAACAUUUCAUCACAGUUCACUUCUCCAGUCCCUGAGGGAUGCACACCUGAGCUCCCUCCAGCUCCCGCUCCCACCAGCAGUGCUGAAAUGAACAUCUUCAUACCAGACCCCUUGCAGAUGUGACCUGAACAUCCAGAUGGGGCUGCAAGUUCAUCAGACUCUGUCAGAUGACCCAGUGUUGUCAAAGGAGAGUCUCCAUCAUUUUCCUCAUUUGUGAUGUUGGCCCCUGAGGACAGAUGGGCCCAUGAAUCUAUCUCCAGGGUCUGGCAAGGUCCAUUCACAUGGUGCCACCUUUGGCUCCAGGUCUUUCAUGAGGGAAAGCAAAGGCAGCUUGAAGUCAGGGGGGCAGUCCACAGACCACCCUCACUUCUAACUGUGGAGUUUGGGCGUUCAUUCCCAAGGCCAUUCUCAGGUUUGACCAUUUGCUAGAAAGACUCAUGGAAGUCACUGAAAGUGUUUAUACCCAUGGUUAUGGUUUAUUACUGUGUAAGGAUACAGAUCAAAUCAAGGAAGACACAUGUGGGGUAGAACCCAAGAGGGUUCCAAUGUCAGAGCUCCCAUUGUUCAUUGCCUGUGGAGUCACAGACAGGGCUGACUCCUCCAGGUAUGAUGUGUGACAAUAAGCAGAAUAUUGCCAACCGGGGGGCUUACCUGAGCCUUGGUGUUCUGAGUUUUUACUGGGGAGUCAUGGUCGAUGCCUGCCUGCCUGCAUGGCUGACCUUUAGACCCCAGACCCUGGAGGUUGAAAUGAUAUUUUCAACAGGCCCUGUUAUUAGUCAGGUUAGGCUUGGCUCUGCUGCAGAGGCAGAUAAACCCCCAAGCUCAGCAGUGCUAGA
rnacentral:lncRNA from 10 species